rnacentral:snRNA from 1 species
GUGCUCACUUUGGCAGCACAUAUACUAAAAUUGGAACGAUGCAGAGAAGAUUAGCACAGCCCCUGCAUGGAUGACAAAAAAAUAAAUUUAGAAAAAAUGAUCCUUU